rnacentral:tRNA from 1 species
UGGGAUAUAACUCAGCGGUAGAGCACAUGCUUAGCAUGCAUGAAGUCCUGGGUUCAAUCCCCAGUACCUCCA